rnacentral:rRNA from 1 species
CCCUAGUAACGGCGAGUGAAGCGGGAAGAGCUCAAAUUUGAAAUCUGGCGGUUACGGCCGUCCGAGUUGUAAUCUAGAGAGGUGUUUUCCGUGCCGGACCGUGUACAAGUCCCUUGGAACAGGGCGUCAUAGAGGGUGAGAAUCCCGUCCAUGACACGGACUACCGGUGCUCUGUGAUACACCUUCAAAGAGUCGAGUUGUUUGGGAAUGCAGCUCAAAAUGGGUGGUAAAUUCCAUCUAAAGCUAAAUACAGGCGAGAGACCGAUAGCGAACAAGUACCGUGAGGGAAAGAUGAAAAGAACUUUGGAAAGAGAGUUAAACAGUACGUGAAAUUGUUGAAAGGGAAACGCUUGAAGUCAGUCGCGUCUGCCAGGACUCAGCCUUGCUUCUGCAUGGUGCAUUUCCUGGUGGAUGGGCCAGCAUCGAUUUUGGUCGCCGGACAAGGGCGGGAGGAAUGUGGCAGCUUGCUGUGUUAUAGCCUCCCGUCGUACACGGUGGUUGGGAUCGAGGACUGCAGCACGCCUUUGGUCGGGGUUCGCCCACGCCACGUGCUUAGGAUGCUGGCGUAAUGGCUUUAAACGACCCGUCUUGAAACACGGACCAAGGAGUCUAACAUGCCUGCGAGUGUUUGGGCGUUAAACCCAGGCGCGUAAUGAAAGUGAAAAGUUGGGACUCUUUAGUGAGGCACCGACGCCCGAUCCUGACGUUCUCUGACGGAUUUGAGGUAGAGCAUGUAUGUUGGGACCCGAAAGAUGGUGAACUAUGCCUGAAUAGGGUGAAGCCAGAGGAAACUCUGGUGGANGCUCGUAGCGAUUCUGACGUGCAAAUCGAUCGUCAAAUUUGGGUAUAGGGGCGAAA